CCUACGGGGCGCAGCAGUAGGGAAUCUUCCACAAUGGACGAAAGUCUGAUGGAGCAACGCCGCGUGAGUGAAGAAGGGUUUCGGCUCGUAAAGCUCUGUUGGGAGUGAAGAAAGAUAGAGGGAGUAACUGGCCUUUAUUUUACGGUAAUUACUUAGAAAGUAACUGCUAACUACGUGCCAGCAGCCGCGGUAAUACGUAGGUGGCAAGCGUUGUCCGGAUUUAUUGGGCGUAAAGCGAGUGCAGGCGGUUUCAUUAGUCUUGUUUGAAAG
rnacentral:rRNA from 1 species